rnacentral:tRNA from 1 species
CCUGGUGGCUCAGAUGGUAAAGCGUCUGCCUGCAAUGCAGGAGACUCAGGUUUGAUUCCUGGGUCAGGA